CCUACGGGAGGCAGCAGUGGGGAAUAUUGCACAAUGGGGGAAAGCCUGAUGCAGCAACGCCGCGUGAGUGAUGAAGGCCUUCGGGUCGUAAAGCUCUGUCCUCAAGGAAGAGAAUGACGGUACUUGAGGAGGAAGCCCCGGCUAACUACGUGCCAGCAGCCGCGGUAAUACGUAGGGGGCUAGGGUUAUCCGGAGGUAUUGGGCGGAAAGGGUGCGUCGGUGGUUUCUUAAGUCAGAGGUGAAAGGCUACGGCUCAACCGUGGCAAGCCUUUGAAACUGGGGAACUUGAGUGCAGGAGAGGAAAGUGGAAUUCCUAGUGUAGCGGUGAAAUGCGUAGAUAUUAGGAGGAACACCAGUUGCGAAGGCGGCUCUCUGGACUGUAACUGACGCUGAGGCACGAAAGCGUGGGGAGCAAACAGGAUUAGAUACCCCUGUAGUC
rnacentral:rRNA from 1 species